rnacentral:misc_RNA from 1 species
CCGAGUUUACAACUCCCAAACCCUUGUGAACAUACCACUUGUUGCCUCGGCGGAUCAGCCCGCUCCCGGUAAAACGGGACGGCCCGCCAGAGGACCCCUAAACUCUGUUUCUAUAUGUAACUUCUGAGUAAAACCAUAAAUAAAUCA